rnacentral:rRNA from 1 species
AUACGAAGGGGGCUAGCGUUGUUCGGAAUUACUGGGCGUAAAGCGCGCGUAGGCGGGCUGGUCAGUUGGGGGUGAAAUCCCGAGGCUCAACCUCGGAACUGCCCUCAAUACUACCAGUCUUGAGUUCGAGAGAGGUGAGUGGAAUUCCUAGUGUAGAGGUGAAAUUCGUAGAUAUUAGGAAGAACACCAGUGGCGAAGGCGGCUCACUGGCUCGAUACUGACGCUGAGGCGCGAAAGCGUGGGGAGCAAACAGGAUUAGAAACCCCAGUAGUCC